AUGAUAGAAACACAGCUGGAAGCCCAUUUUCGGCUUAUGGAAUGUUUUCAACAACUACAAGUUUUGAUAAAAAAUAUUUUAUACAAUUUCUACGUAAUUUUGGUAACAAUUUCGUGUGAGCAUUCUGUCGAUGUUGAGAAAUUUAAGAUAUUUUGUGAGAUUAGAUAACUGUUAUACAUUAACAGAAGCAAGAAAUAAGUUUUAUAAAAGCGACCGGAAAUCUCAUGCUCAAAAGAAUAGCGGAUUAAACAAAAUGCCCAUUAAUAUCCAGCAUAUGUUAAGCGAAAGGAAAAUGUGGAUUCGGACUAUGGCAACGAUUCACCAAAGAAAAAAAAUCCGAAAUACUAAAUUAAUAUUUCACAUUUCUCUCCGCUCCGCCGAUCGAAAAGCACUCAAUACUUUUUUGUUCCAGUGAUCUCA